rnacentral:lncRNA from 1 species
UAUCAAAGCCUGGUCACACAAGGGCCUGAUUGAGGAGGAAAAAAAAAAAAAAACAGCAGUUCAGCUACACAAGCUAGACACACAGGGUGAGAGUUUAAGUAUCAUUUGGGAACGCUUCGUGUUGUGAAUAACAGCAACUAACAGUGUUAGAAGCAACUAAUAGUGACUUAAGCCUUAAGAGCAUUCAUUAUUUACAGAAUAAAGAAUCCAGAGAUAAGCAGUCCUAGGAUUUGUUCAGCAGUUCAAUGAUAACAUUGAAACUUCAGGAUUUUUUCAUCCUUCCCCUCUACCAUUCUUCAGCAUAUUCACUUUUUGCCCUUAAAUGUGUUACCUAAUGAUCACAAAAUUGUUGCCACAGCUAUACGCAUCAGAUCCUCACAUAAUUGGCCCUAAAAGAAAAAAGUAGGGGAAAAUAUUUUUUAAAGAGUUCUCCUUAUAUCUAAUUAGCGAGAGAUGUGUCACAUGACUACCCACAAAAGCAAGUAAUAUUUGACCUUUUUAUCUCUCUAGUGUGCGGAAGGCAAGGGAAAAAGAGGAAUGGUUAUUGAAUAACCACGCAACAGUGUCUGCUGCAGUGUGGCAGGGAGGUUGCUGCUUCAUGUGAAAUGGUGGGGCCCAGGGUCUCUCCAUCAAGCAUCCCAGAUACCAGGCUUGGACAGCCAGACCAAUUCUAGGGAAUGGGGGUCGGGAAUUGGUCUGGCUGUCCAAGCCUCGUGUCUAGGAUGCUUGAUGGGGAGACCCUGGGCCCCACCAUUUCCCAUUAGAAAGGAGGCAUUACAGGCUGGGUGUGGUGGCUCACACCUGUAAUCCCAGCACUUUGGGAGGCCAAAGUGGGUGGAUCACCUGAGGUCAGGAGUUCGAGACUAGCCUGGCCAACAUGGUGAAACCUCGUCUCUAUUAAAAACACAAAAAUUAGCCAAGUGUGGUGGCGGGCGCCUGUAAUCCCAGCUACUCGGGAGCCGAAGCAGGAGAAUCACUUGAACCUGGGAUGCAGAGUUUGUGGUGAGCCGAGAUCGUGCCACUGCACUCCAGCCUGGGUGACAGAGUGAGACUCUGUCAAAAAAAAAAAAAAAAAAAAAAAGUUAGGAGGCAUUACAAUCCUGGGGCUGCCCAUGCCCCUCCCAGUGAACAAAGUUUAGUGAAACUUUCCCCUAAGACUCUGGCCCCCUUGGGUGCCCUUGGGAGGCCAGGGCCUCAAAUUAGUUCCUAUGGUGGGCUUCCUAGGUAUCUUGGCAACUGAGUGCCCUGAUAAACCAGAUAAACCCUCUCUUGCCAAGUGCAAUUCCAAAUCACAGUAACUGUAACCAGAGGCAAUAGUCACAGCUAACACUUAUGUAACAUUUACUAUAAGCCAGAAACAACAUGUUCCAUGCCCUUUAUAUGCCUAAUUCAUUUAGUCUCACAACAACCCUGUUAUGAGAUGCUGUUAUCAUUACCCCUGUUUUACGGAUGAGGAAACUGAGGUACACAGAGGUUAAGGAACCUGCCAAGGACACGAAACUAAUAAGUGGCUGAUCCGGGAUUUGAAGCUGAGUAGCCUGGUCCCAGAAUUCAUGCUCCUAACCAUUACACUGCCUCUUAUCCAAGUAAAUUUUGCAGUGCUUUGAUCAAACACAGAAAAAAAAAGUGCAGUUCAGAGGCAGUAGGAAGCAUGUGGAUGAAGAAGGAGUGCAUGGUGGGCACUGUCAUUCAUUCAUCAGCCCCCAGGGUCUGGUGCCUUUAUCCAGUGCUGUGGUGGUAGAUUGUGGUGGCACCCAUUGGACUGUGAGGAACAUUCCAUCUGAACAGUGAUAUGCUGUGUUAAUAAGAUGCCUAAAUAUUUGCAUCUAAUCUAAAUAAUGUGUGAAAAGAGCAGUCCCCAUAGCUAGGAUGCUCUGGGCCAGGCAAGAUCAGACAUGGCAUAUGUUAGGAUAGAAUUGUCACUUGGGUUACAUUUAACACUCCCACAUAAUGGAGUCUUUGUGAACUUUUCAAAAGAUAUAAACAAAACAUCUUGUUUCUCAUGCAGCUACUUCAGAGAGAUUUUAUGGCUGCCUGCCUAAUGUUGACAUGAAAUAGCUUUUGUCUUGACUAUUGGAGUCAUUAGGUAUCAAUAUUUGAAACACAAAGGUUACUCCUUUGUGUUUUAAUUACUUGUGCAUUUUUUAUCCUUGAAGUACCAAAUAUAAAAUUCAUUUUAAGAAGGCUUUUAUACAUGUAAAUUGUAUUCAAAGCUCCUUUUAAAGUUACUCAUUAUUUUAUAAAACAUACAAAUUUGGGUUAAGAUAUGAGGAAUGUUUAAUGAUGUUUUCAGGUUAUAAUGAUGAAAAUGGAUCUCCCUCUGGGUUUGGCAAUACCCUUAGGUAGCUCUGACUCUGUCAAGGGAAAUACAAAAAUUCCAGAAGUUCAAAGUAAAUUUAAAGCCUGGAGCAAUGGUGUGCACCUGUAGUCCCAGCUACUCAGAAGGUUGAGUCGGGAAGAUUGCUUGAGCCCAGGAGUUCAAGGCCAGCCUGGGCAACAUAGCAAGACCCCAUCUCUAAAUAAUAAUAAUAAUAAGAAGAAGAAGAAGAAGAAGAGGAGGAGGAGGAUGAAGAAGAGGACAAAGAGGAAGAGGAGAAGAAGAAGAUGAUUUAACCUAAGUCAGGUGCUUAGAAUUUGCUUCUGGGAAGUGUGUGACUCACAGGGCAUAUAUAAUAUCUUCAACCAAAGAGUGACUCUCUGAUGACAUAAUCCAAUUGUGGGACUGCCAUUACCUCACCUUAGGCUGACUCAUUUUAAUGACAUACAAUGGGUGACAUUAAUGACAUGUGAUAAACAAUCACCAAUGAUUACCUAAUAAAACCUCUUAAAUCAUGUAACACUUGAUUAUGAAAAAAAUAGCAAUAAAGAAUGAAGACCUUGUUUUGUACUGCUAAGAUGAAAAUUGAAAUUUAACAUUUAGGAUACACUCCAAAAGCUAGCAACUUAGCAAUUCCUUCUGGCUGUGAUUGAGGAAUGGCCUCCUGUGAGAGGGUGGGUCAGAUGGAUGACACAGAGUAAGGAAGAGCUAAUUCUCAAGAUUGCUCCUACACAAAAAUAUGAAGUCAGGAAAUUUUGUCCAUCUUCAAUCCCUCACAUCCCUUUCUUGGCCUAGCCCCCUUCCUCUCACCCUCCCACUUCUCUUCCUUGUGUCCUCUCUAUUGGAGAAAGGGAUGGUCAGGGAAGGCUUCGUGGUCACUGACUCUUUUCUGAACUCCUGGCUGUGAUGCUGUGGUUAUCCAGUUUGAUUAAAUCCGUUCAGACACUGCUCAUGCAACCCAGACUUAUAGAAAAGGAAUUUGUAGCAAUGGUUCAAAUUAAUAGCUAUAACAGAAAUGUAGUCUCCAGGUAGACCAAUGGAUAAUACAUUCCUUCACUUGCAAGACAGCCUGCUUAUAAUGCAGAAGAAAAAUGCAACAGUUGGGAUAGGCUAAGUUAGACUGUGGCAACAAACAACCCCAUAACUUUGGCGGCUCACAACAGAAAAGAAUAUUUCUUGUUCACACUACAUGUCUAUCACAGCUCUGCUCCAUUCUGUGUUCACUCAGGCCAUUGAGGCAACAGGAAAAGAAAGAUUAUGAACUGCAGGAGAGGGGCACUGAAAGGAGUUGGGAGAAACAAUAUUUGGGGGAACAGUAAUACGAUCUACCAGAACAAUUAAUGGAAUUAUCUCUCUGAAAAGUCCCAUGCUAAGAGUCAAAAAACCAGGUUCCACUUCUCUCUCUGCUGCCUAACCACUCUUAUAUCGGGGGAACCCACCCCCAAUAUUUCAAUGUAGGUUCUUUCUAUUUUCCAAGUGUCAGCCAGUCUGAGAAAUAAAGAGAAAGAGCACAAAGAGAGGAAUUUUACAGCUGGGCCUCCAGGGGUGACAUCACAUAUCGGUAUGACAGUGAUGCCCACCUGAGCCACAAAAUCAGCAGGUUUUUAUUAAGGAUUUCCAAAGGGGAGGGGGUGUAAGAAUAGGGAGUAGGUCACAAAGAUCACAUGCUUCAAAGGGCAAAAAGGAGAACAAAGAUCACUUGCUUCUGAGGAAACAAGGCAAGGGCAAAAUCAGAAACUCCUGAUAAGGGUCUAUAUUCAGCGGUGCACGUACUGUCUUGAUAAACAUCUUAACAGAAAACAGGGUUUGAGAGCAGAGAACCGGUAUGACCAAAAAUUUACCAGGCUGGAGUUUCCCAAUCCUAGUAAGCCUGAGGGUACUGCAGGAGACCAGGGUGUACCUCAGUCUUUAUCGCAACUGCAUAGGACAGACAUUCCCAGAGCUGCCGUUUAUAGACCUCCCGCCAGGAAUGCAAUUCUUUUCCCAGAGUAUUAAUAUCAAUAUUCCUUGCUAGGAGAAGAAUUUAGCGAUAUCUUCCCUACUUGCACAUCCAUUUAUAGGCUCUCUGCAAGAAGAAAAAUAUGGCUCUUUUUGCCUGACCCCACAGGCAGUCAGACCUUUCGGUUGUCUUCCCUUGUUCCCUAAAAUCACUGUUAUUCUGUUCUUUUUCAAGGUGCACUGAUUUCAUAUUGUUCAAACACACAUGUUUUACAAUCAGUUUGUACAGUUAACACAAUUAUCACAGGGUCCUGAGGUGACGUACAUCCUCAGCUUACAAAGAUAGCAGGAUUAAGAGAUUAAAGUAAAACAGGCAUAAGAAAUUAUAAGAGUAUUAUUUGGGAAGUGAUAAAUGUCCAUGAAAUCUUCACAAUGUAUGUUCCUCUGCUGCGGCUCCAGCCAGUCCCUCCAUUCAGGGUCCCUGACUUCCUGCAACACACUUAACCUUGGACAAAUUAACCUUGAAUCUCUCUGAGCUUCAUUUUCCCAAUGAAGAAAAUAAGGGGAUGGGGUCCCAUGACUCUCAAGGUACCUUCCAGCUUGGAAGCUGUGUGACCAGAGGCUCCUGAUGGCUAAAAUGGGGACCUUCUCACCAGCCAGGACCUGGAGCACAUCACCAGAGUUUUUCUCUAAAAACUCUUCUGAAAGACAAAUAUCAUAUGUUCUCACUUCGUGAAAACUAAAAAAGAAAUUGAACUCAUAGAGCUGGAAGUAGAAUGAUGGUUACCAGAAUCUGGGAAGGGCAGCAGAGAGGGGGUAUAAAGUGGGGAUCACUGAUGGGUACAAAAAAUACAGUUAAAUAGAAUGAAUAAGAUCCAGAAUUUGGUAGCACAAUAGGGCAACUAUAGUUAACAAUAAUUUAUUGUAUAUUUUAAAAUAACUAAAAGAGUGGAAUUGGUGAAAACAAAGAAAUGAUAAAUGCUUGAGGCGAUGGAUAUCCCAAUUAUUCUGAUGUGAUCAUUAAACAUUGUAUGCCUAUAUCAAAAUAUCUCAUGUACCUCAUAAAUAUGUAAUUAUAUACCCAUAGUAAUUAAACAUUUUUAAAAAGGAAAACACAAUAAAAAUAAAAACUCUUCUGGCUCUAUCAGAAGGUACCUUAUUUGUGCUAUAAAAAAACCUGAUGUCUCAACUGGGAUUCCACAUCCAAACCCCAGAACACAGAAGAUUAUUUGAAUGACUUUGUUCUCAAUUCUCCCAAGAAGAGUUGAUAAUGAGUACCAAUCUAGAAGGUUCUUCCGGGAUGAAAGUUACAGGAAAUAAGUUAAUUCAUUGUGUACAAUGGAUGUUCAUAGUGCACUUGAGUCCAGUUCUCUCUUGGAACCCAUUUGAGAAAGGCUAUAAUUGUUUCCUGCAACUUUUCUUUGGAGUUGGAGGAGCUCCACUCAAGCUUCUCCAAACAUUGUGAGAAAUUCCAUGCCCUCCCCAAAUGUCUGCAAAUUCCUAGGAGCUCAUGAUUUUGAGGCCACUUCUCAAUAAGAUUUCCAGCUCUUGCUGAGUCCCACUCAUACAUUUCUUCCUAUUCUGUUAUCUCAUCUCUGUCCAGGUGGGAAAUGCAGCUCUGUAUUCUUUUGCUUAUCCCAAAAUCAAAAUGAUUCUAAAUCAUGUUGUCUUCAUUCGUUUUGUGUUGCUAUAACCAAAUACCACAGACUAGGUAAUUUAUAAAGAAAACAAAUCUAUUUCUCAUGGUUCUGAAUGCUAGGAAGUCCAAUGUAAAGGUGCUGGCAUCUUGUGAGGGCCUUCCUGCUGUGUCUCCCCAUGGCAGAAGGAGGAAAGUGGAAGGGCAAGAGAGCACACACAUGUGCACACACGAGAAAGACUGAGAAGGAAAGAGAGAGAUAAAGAGAAAGAAAGAGAGGUGGAAGGGGGCCCAAAUCAUCCCUUUUAUCAGGAACCCACCCUCAGGAUAACUAACCCACUCCCACUAUAAGGGCAUUAAUCCAUUCAUGAGGACAGAGCCCUCACAGCCUAAUCACCUCUUAAAGGUGCCACCUCCCAACACUGUUACACUGGCAAUUAAGUUUCCAGUACAUGAACUUUGGGGAACACUUUCAAAUCAUAAUACCAUAACAUAUGUAUUCCAAAAGUUAAAACCACAAACUAACAAAAUAGAUCCUUAAUGCUGUGUUCCCUCAAUGUUUAAUCCUUAUGUUCUUCUAAGUGAAUACUGUAAUUCUUUCUUUUUUAUUUUUUAAGAGACAGAAUCUCACUCUGUCACCCAGGCUGGAGUGCAUUGGUGCAAUAAUAACUCACUGCCACCUGUAAUUCCUGGCCUCAGGUGAUCCUCCUGCCUCAGCCUCCUGAGUAGCUGGGACUACAGGUGUAUGCCACCAUGCCCAGCUAACUUUUUAGGAUCUCACUAUGUUUCCUAGACUGGUCUCAAACUCAUGGACUCAAGCAAUCCUCCCACCUCAGCCUCCCAAAGUGCUGGGAAUACAAGCACGAGCCCAGCCCAUUCUCUUUCUUUUUACAUCACCUGAAUCUUAAUCCAGUUGAACACCUAUUCUAUCUGACUCCCCUUGUUUUCAAAAUGUAUACUCAAAUUGCUUUUCAAAACUGUAAAAAUUUGUUUACAAAUACAAGAGUCUCCAACCUUGUGGAUCCCAACACAAUUUCCGGAAAGAGAUGGGAUGGGAGAUCUUGGAUUGCACUCAUGAAUAAGAAAGCUGGUAAAACUGAUGUGCUAAGAACUGAGGCAAAUUGACAUUUGGCUCUGGCUUGUAGCUGCUCUCCUCCUUUCUUCCCAAAUGAGUGGUUUCAGUGAAUGUUAAAUGUUUUAUUUCAAAGUUUUUUAAGUCUGUGGUAUCAUUUAUACAUCAAUUUCAACAGCAAACAUUCCAAAAAGGCAUAUAAGUUUAUAGCAAAUAUUAUAUACUGGACAACCUUGUUCUAAGAGGCCUCCAUCCUCCCACCACUGGGAAUUUCUCACAGGUCUUCUCUCCUCACAGAAUCUGGCCUCUGGCCAUGUUGUUCAUUCACGCUUUCUCACUCUCACUCUCAUACUUGCCUUUUCAUUCAUUUGCUCUCUCACCCUCUACUCCCCUUUUCCUCUUUCCUCUGUCUUAAGUCACCCCAGGAAUUCCUAUCCAUUUCUAUGUAGGCAAUUUCGCCUAUAUUUUUGUUGCCUUCUUCCAUUCAAUGUCCAAGUGCUUCAUCUUCCAUCUCCCAAGCAGCCCAUCAAAAGAUUUUAGACCCUUCCUAAAUUCAAAUGCCAUGGGUGUAAUCAAAUUUUUACCUUGCUGUGCUAGCUUAAAAGGAAUCAUUUGGAAGAGGUAUAAAUACUCUUGCUAUGAUAGGUUUGACCAAC